AGUGACAGUAGGAGGUGGAGUAGUAGCCGGUAUAGUAGACGUCUUGUUGAGGUGGAAUCCGGCGGCCAGCCCAGUUUCUAGUAGGCCGUAUAAGUCCAGAUCCCCCGGCAGAAGGUUAAAAAUCGCGUCCCAAAAACCUCUUCCUCCGAAAGGGAACACAACAAACAGGAGGAGGAGCUAGAGACAGACAGAUCCACCUCCUCGCCGAUCGGGGGCCCAGAUCGCCUCGCUGCGGAGGUGGCCGAGGGGAGGAGCGGCCUCCCGAAUCCGCCUCGCCGUCAGCUGAUCGGGGCGUGAUCCGUGGCGGGAGGAGCAGCAAUGACGGCCGAGGGGACGGCGUGCAACGGCGCCGGCGAGGCGCCCAAGGCGGAAUUCUCGCCGGAGAAGGCGGUGGCGGCCGGGGAGCGCGAGGGCGAAGACGUCGGCGGGCCGUUCGUGAUCGAGAUUGUACAUGCCGCAACCCCACGCAACUCUAGUAAUGAUUGGUAACGGCGUCCUGUCUUGCAGUAAAAGGCAAAGUCGAAGCAGUUAUUGAACA